AACGAACGCUGGCGGCAUGCCUAACACAUGCAAGUCGAACGAGAUCUUCGGGUCUAGUGGCGCACGGGUGCGUAACGCGUGGGAAUCUGCCCCUUGGUUCGGAAUAACAGUUGGAAACGACUGCUAAUACCGGAUGAUGACGAAAGUCCAAAGAUUUAUCGCCAGAGGAUGAGCCCGCGUAGGAUUAGCUAGUUGGUGUGGUAAAGGCGCACCAAGGCGACGAUCCUUAGCUGGUCUGAGAGGAUGAUCAGCCACACUGGGACUGAGACACGGCCCAGACUCCUACGGGAGGCAGCAGUGGGGAAUAUUGGACAAUGGGCGAAAGCUUGAUCCAGCAAUGCCGCGUGAGUGAUGAAGGCCUUAGGGUUGUAAAGCUCUUUUACCCGGGAUGAUAAUGACAGUACCGGGAGAAUAAGCUCCGGCUAACUCCGUGCCAGCCGCCGCGGUAA
rnacentral:rRNA from 1 species